rnacentral:rRNA from 1 species
AAAGGAAUUGACGGGGGCCCGCACAAGCAGCGGAGCAUGUGGCUUAAUUCGAAGCAACGCGAAGAACCUUACCAGGGCUUGACAUCUAGGUGAAGCGGGGGAGACCUCGUGGCCGAGAGGAGCCUAGACAGGUGGUGCAUGGCUGUCGUCAGCUCGUGUCGUGAGAUGUUGGGUUAAGUCCCGCAACGAGCGCAACCCUCGUCGCAUGUUGCCAGCGCCUCGGGCGGGCACCCAUGCGAGACCGCCGGCGUCAAGCCGGAGGAAGGUGGGGACGACGUCAAGUCAUCAUGCCCCUUAUGUCCUGGGCUGCACACGUGCUACAAUGGCAUGGACAGUGGGCUGCCACCCCGCGAGGGGGAGCGAAUCCCUAAACCAUGCCCCAGUUCGGAUUGGAGGCUGCAACCCGCCUCCAUGAAGUCGGAGUUGCUAGUAAUCGCGGAUCAGCACGCCGCGGUGAAUGCGUUCCCGGGCCUUGUACACACCGCCCGU